UCCUAUUCAUCGUCUUCUCCGUCUCCACUCUAAACCCUUCCAUUUUCCUUCUUUUCCGCUGCUUUAUUUUAUACUUCUCAUCUUUUUUCCAUCAUCUGCAAACCCAAUCUUCCUCCCUAUUAAUUGAAGAUCAUAUGAACAGAAGGAUCUUGUGACUGGCUUCUUUCCUCCGUCAAUGCGUGCUUCAGAGCUCAUCAUUGUUCGGGCGCACGUUUAUACAGUCAGAGUCAAGAAGAUGAGGGAGUAUCUUAACUUGUGGCUGAUGGAAUGGAACACCUUUGUAAGCUAUUUGGGGAUGAGGGAUUGCAGGCAUCCCUUCUGGGUUGGUACCUAAACCUGCUUUGUUACUGUUUGCUUGUGGAUUUGUUCUUAUCAUGUUGGUAUGCUUCUUUUAUUUUUCCACAAAAACAAAUAAGAUAUUUGAACCAUUUGAGCAAAUAUUUACACACAAAAAAUUUAAAAAAAAAAUGAAAGAACCAAAAUGAUUAUUCGAAGAGAAGAUUGA